rfam:Ictidomys tridecemlineatus contig055331, whole genome shotgun sequence.
GGGGCUGUAGCUUAGUGGCAGAGCGCCUGUCUUGCACAUGUGAGGCACUAGGUUCGAUCCUCAGCACCA